UACAGCGGGGAGAGGGAUGGUGCCUUGGCGCGAGCCCGAGGACUCGAAACUACGGAAUUCCAACCGACAGAGUAGUGCCGGCGUUCGUACGAUACGGUUCUGUUGUAGUGGGGGAGUGUAAUCUGAAGUGAAUAAAAAAGAAAAGGGAAGGAGACAGAAAGUGAUGGCAAGAGAGAGAGGGGGAGUAUGGACAGAGGGGUGACGCGAAGCUAAGGUGGUUGCGUCUCAUUGUGUUCGUCUUCGUGGCUCAGUUCCGAUGUUCUCGUAGUACCGGAUACAUAACGUCAGGUGGUUACCUCUGAGACACCCACGAUCAGUUGUGAACAUAGACUUUUAAGCGCACUAGACAAUUCGAUAGCAGUGAAUAAAGUGCAAAGUGAAUCGCGCUUCCUGGCAUAUCGCGGAAUUUCUCUCACAGUCUUCUGUGAUGACUCAAUAUCUGUCGGCAGAUGUUGUCGGCAUAUCGCUCGCAUGUAAAUCAUCGAUUAUAUUUACGCUGUUAUUUCGUGGACGUCCUUCAGCACAACAUCAUUCCAAGUGUUGAGUUGACUAAUAUGUGAACCAUCGCUCGGAGAACGUUACUACGAAGCGGGAUCCGGUGCCAUAAAGUGGCAGCCAGCAAGUGGUAAUCGUUCCGCUGUUAUCGUCGUCGCCGACACGUCGACCCGAGGCCGACGAUGCCGCACGUGGUGAUCGCGACGUAUCGCGCGACACUAAGUUGGCUAUUUGCACCUGGAGUCGACCUGAGACUCAGCAAGCGAAGAUCUUAACAGCGCGCGACUCCGCAUUUCUUCUGUUUUUAAGAUGUUAUGUCUCGAGUUACUGCGCAAACACGGCAAAUGUUGCAAAACUGGCAAUUAGUGUGCCAAUCAUGAUGAAAUAAUGCCAUUUUUCGAAAUAUCCUUUAUGACGAAGGAAAUAGAGCACGGAAAUAAUCUCUCGUUCAUACCCACACGAAUACAUGUAAGCACGUACGCGUGAAAUCCUUUCGUGAAUCUCAUUUUGUUCUUACCUAUCGUACUAUUGAUGAGGAGUAAUAUCGACGUUAAUAAUAUCGAACGGUAACACGGUAAACGAUAUAUAGCACUCUUGCCAUUUUUACUACGUAAUGUCACAUCCGGAACAGACUACCUCAGAGUUCAGGAAUUUAAAACGAUGAAUGAAUGAAGAAAGGAAAAAGAUGAAAGAGCCAAUGCAAUAAUAAUAAUAAUAAUAAUAUAAUAAUAAUAUAAGUAGCGAGGAGCGUCUGUGCGGGCGAAACGACAAACUUUCACGCACUUUGCAUUCCGACACAUUCUGUGCUUCUCUUGCACAGGGGAGAACAAUAAAGUUGUCCUGCCCAAAACAAUAUUUGUUUUACUUUCUUCUUUUCACUUAUUCUUUCCUCCUUCGCACAAAUGUAUGAAUAUUUUAUCGUACAUGCUGCCGAUGUAUGUCGCUUCUUCAUCUGACCAACACGAGCGCCGUUUUACAAGAAACAAAUUAUCCUCUUUGCUUCCCUGAGUACUUCUCGGGUCGCCCGCCGGUUUAAUCAGCUUGUGUAAUAGAACAUUAUAUAUUUAGAACUUAAUGUAAAGAUGAUGUGAAAUUGCGAGAGAUUUAGCGAGCGAGCGAGCAAGAGCGAGAGAGAGAGAGAAAACGAGAAAUGUGAUUCAAUGGCGAGUUUGGUUGGGUGCAUUAGUGUGCACUGACUAUUUUGUUUAACGGAAUAUAAAUCAAACAAAUUUUCGCUUCAUCAAUAGAGCUUGUAUUAUAUAAUAAUCUUGUUUAACAAAAGAACAAAGAUCUUGACUUGCGCCAGUGCAUUCUGGUAAACUCGCCAUACGAAGGAAAGAUUUGGGAAAUGUAAUGUUUCUUAGAGACAUAUCAAAUAUAGCGCGUUACUUUAUAUUCAAUUCGAUUAUAAAUAAUUGUGAAUUGAUACGCCGGCAGGCGGAAACGCGCGCUUUGACCGCGAUAUAUCGAAGGUAUCGAAGAUAUAUCAUAUCAUUGUUUCACGCGAAACGGUCGAACGUCAUGAGAAAGGACAGAAAGGGAACAGGAUAUUGCGCUCGCGAUUUUGUUCGUAUGUCGACGAGGAUCGUUGAGACGAUGAUGAUGAAGAGCACGGGGAAAAUGUAUGGUGUGACGAGAAAAGUUGUAGUUGUGACAAUGCAACACGUUCUCAGCACGUUCCUUUCAGCGUAAAGAAUUUUUUUGGUGGCGAUUCUUGUGUACAGUCGUUCCAGAUGUUAGGACACCAUGUCGCUUGUUUUACGUAUUAUUACUAUUAUCGAUAAUUAUAAGAUAUGUUACAUUAUUAUUAUAUUAACAUACAGUUAUAAUAAUUAUAUUAUAAUUAUAUAUUAUGAUGUAAUGUUUUGUACAUUCUCCAGUUCAUUUCGCGAACGCCGAUUGCGAACGAAGUAAGAGAACAGAGAAAUUGUGAUCAAUAUCACCGGUACGUUUCACGUUAUUUGUCAUGUGAAACCAUGUGACUUUAAACCGCAAAUACACAUGUGUGUGUAUAUACACUGGAGGAUUAUUUCUUCAAGCACAUUCCUGCGUACUUAGAUGGGCAUCUUAGAUCGAUAGGCUAAUACACAUAUCUUUGAAUAAUUUUAAAUAAUUCAUCUAGCGUAAACACCGUAGUUUAGCUUUCUCGAGCAACGGUGUUCAAAUCCAUUUUACGGAUUUCUUUGAAGGAAUGAUCCUCCGAUUGAUUCUAUCAGUGUAUGUCACAUAUCUGUGUAAUAAAUCUCGGUAUUAGCAUAGAGAGACAAUGCCGCGAGAUAUUCGAAGUGGCGACAGACUCGAAAAUCCAAUUUUCCGAAAUCGAAGCUCUGGAAUGAACUUCCACAUGCUCGGAAGUGUCAUUGUGUCACAUGUCAUUACGAGUCAUUGGUUGCCUUAAUCGAUAAUACGCCAUUGUGGAACGAAUGAGGUUGCGAGGAAUAGCGCGGCACUGUCUCCUUAUACUAUGUAUAAGGAUACUGAUAAGGUGUACAUAUAGACAUCCUAAGUAAUCGAAGAAAAGAUAUCGACAAUGUUGAAAUACGCGCUUCUCCUAAAGAAAUGUGAUUUUGAUUCCACGGGCAUUUUCUCGAAGAGUAUAUUGAACGACGAUUCAUUUUCGUGAUGUGAGGAAACUAAGCGUAAAGAAAGAAAGAGAGAGAGAGAGAGAGAGAGCGGAAAAGAAAGGUUCUCUCUCAUUUCGUAAAGUUGCAAUUCCGCACACACUUGUCGUUUAUAUUUCCCUUGUGCCAUAGCCAUGCGUAUCGGUGAAUAACAAAGUUCCAUAGAGAAGAGAGAAAAAGAGAGAGAGAGAGAGAAAGAAAGAAUGUACGAUGAUUGUGAAAUGCUGUAUGAUGAUAUUCCAAUUAUGUAUUUAAUUAAUUGUUGAUAUGUUGUUUUAUGCCGAAUGCGAGACAUUAACAACAAGAUUUUUCCUCUUUACGGACGUACAAAGUUUUGAAGAACAUCACGGGAUUUGAAAAGUAGAUGUCAAAUAUUAUAAUUUCAGAAUUAGUAGAUAAAUGAUAGAUAAUAAGAAUUUACAUUUUCUAUUCGACGAGAUUCUUCGUAUUCACGUGCAAGCACUUUUUACACAAAGAUAACAGUUAACAAAUAAAUGGUUAUUUUAAAGAUUCAUUUUUUGUCUAAUCUACUUUUUAAAUUAAAAAAUAAUAAUUCUCUUCCAAAUUUUGCAUGUCCAUGCUCUCGUUUUAUAUUAACUCUAGGAUGCAUACAAGCAGGACAAGGAACAUUGAAAUAAAAUAAAAAUAACAUUCAGAAAAGCAAUGCAGAUAUACAAUUGUAACUUGCAUUUAUUUUGAAAACAAAUUUAAAGCAAGGGAAAACUUAAUUGCAACCAUGAUGAAAGCAACAGUGUGAACAUGAAUAAAUAUUGCAUGAUGUCAAGAAAAUCUCAAUAUUGCUUAUGCAUCGUAGAGUUAAAUCCUAACACUAUUGCCAUGGGAUUUUCCCGUAUUGCAACUAGUCAUCACUUUUAAUAUCUUAUAUUAUAACUUGAAAAGAACAGCUGUGCAUACUUGUUCUCAAUGUAAGAUUAAACUUUUAUUUAAUAUUUUUCUGAUAAAGGCACGUAACGCAGAUCUAUAUCCACCUGUAUGAAUUUGUACCAUAUAACAAUGUUCUGAAAGAAGCAGGAGAAAGGGAAAAGAUAAAAUAAUCAUGUAGUAGAGUUGGAUUUAAUUAUAUUAAGUUAAUAAAUCAUAUCAUAUAUAUAUAUAAGUAAUUUUUGUUUUUAUAAAUAUUUUAUUUCUUACAAUAAAAAUAGAACAUUACUUAGAACAGUUUCUUUUCAUUUUCUUUCCUUUUCGUUUCCUUCUCUCCUUACGUUUGCUUGCGUAGCUUGUAUUGAGUGUGCGCUGCGUAUAUCAUUUACUGUGCAUUACGUACACAUAUAUUGUACUAUUAACGAAACCAAGUUUAUAAUACCACAAGACAGAUACAAUCGCACUGACUCAACUGGACUGGUCUGACACUGAAAUGAGAAGAAAGGAACUUUAAAAAUUUAUCAACUAAACCUUUUCAGACAUGCCUAAAAGGAAAUUAUUUUUCCCGAUACAAAAUUAUGGGCCGUGUACGUUGGUGCGAUUAAAUCUUGUCUUACGGCACAAGACAUUCAGCGAAAUUCGAGAUGUGGUAUACGAUACACGGGAUGCCGAACGGCUCGAACGUUAUGUUCGCGUGUUCGUGAUCGAACCUCAUUAAUCCCGAUGCGCGGAAUCGAGGCUCCGAGGCCGCGUUUCACGUUCGAAAAUCCGCGAAAUUCCUCCCGUUUUAUACACUGUUUGCACGAGCGUUUUUUCUCGCGCGCCAAUUUAGUUAAUGUCAGAGUACAGGUACGCGGGGGUGUGUUGUACGUACGCGGCCCGCGAGAUUCCAUGAAAUAUCCCGAUCGCGCGGCGAAUCGUCCAUCCUCCUGAUCUAUACCAUUACACCCAUCUUCCCCUUUCCCAUACGAUCCCUUCCUUCCCCUUCGUCCCGCUCCCUUGUCCCACGUCGGUCCCUCGUCGCGCACUCGUAACCUUGGGCAUUCUGUAAUUUAGCAAAUUGUUGCGGACUCGACGAAGGAAUCACUCGAUUCGCGAGUGCUUCGCCAAUAGCGAUGGCGAUGGUAUCGCUCGGAUGCGCCGCGCAUUCACGGACCACUCCGCGAGCGAAAAAGGAUAAAUAAAUGAAUAAUCGGAGAAUCGACGGGGGAGAUAAGGAUGUCCACAGGAUUCCCUGCGGACGCAGGCGGAACGCCGAUUUUGCACGCGAUUCGCGAUCGUUCCCGGCCGAUCCUGGGCCUGGCGAGGCACGAUUCUUCGGAUGAACAGGGAUUUUUCAUCGAAAUCGGAAUCCGACGAUCAUUAUCACACACGCGUAAGGGUUGGAUCACGAUGUACGGCUCGAAAACGAUCGAAGAGCUCCGGAAACGUUGGGCGGCAGCAAUUUCGAAAGCAAUUUCGUAUAAAUGGAAUAUUUUCGCGAUGAUGAUACAAUGAAUACUCUGAUUCGUGUCGCGCUGCGUAUCGGUCCAGCUUCCGGCUUGUCUUUCGUUUCCAGCGAAAGCGGGAUCGUGAACGUUUCUCUCUCAUUUAGAGACCGCGAGAUCGUGGAACCACCGUAGCUCCGCUCUGUUGGUUUAUCGUCGGGCAAAUUGCGUACAGCGUCGAUCUCUCGCUAUUUCAAGAUUUGCAAUUAGUUGAUAGCGGUCCUUAUAGGAAGCUAAUCAACGUCGGCUCAGAGAGGCCUGGCGAAGCGAGCGCGAAUCGAGAGACUCGCGCGGCGGCAUGGCAGGGCGUACAAAAAAGAAAUUAAGAGAAGCGAAGCGAGCGGGUCGAGACGACCACGACGAAGAUCGAUAGUCUCGUCGAUUUAAUUGCGGAUUACGCGGCAGUGAUUACCGAUCGCCCUUUCCUUGUUUCGCAGCAAUAAUAAUUAAUGGCCGGUCGCUCGCUUCGGGCGCCCCUGCUAUCCGCUAUCCUCGCGAGUCCACGUCGUUGUUAGACUUAGGCAACAUUUACCUGAUGACGAAGCAAUAUAUUGACGCGAUCUAUUUGCGAUUUAUAAGACGAGAGAAAUGGAGAACGGAGAGGCGAGAGUGGUAGCGAGUGAGAGAACGCGAGAGUGAGAGUGAGACGAUGCGAGGAAACUAAAGAAUGAGUGACAGGAGAGCAAGAAGAUGUAUCGAAUACAGAAAAGUAUAAAAAUUGCGAAGAAGCGGUGUUAGGUGUAGUCAACUACUGUACUGUAUUAUGCGUCUCCUAGCUAAAUUUUUAUGUUUUCUAAUUCGUUGUGAAGGAAUGUUUUUGGUAUAAAUAUAUAUAAAUAUAUAUAAAUAUAUAUAUAUAAAAAUGGAUCUAUAUAUAUUAUAUAUAUUUAAACUCUAGACUACGAAUUCUAAGUGAGAAAUCACACAAUCAACGAGCUGCGUGGCGGCUACCGUUUACGUCUCGCCGCGGGGAUUCACGAGCGAUCGACGAUGACACGUCGUCAUCCUAAGCGUGACAAUCGAGAGCCCACGAAAAAAAUUGCGAGACAAGAGUUCGCUCGAGCACACGUUUAACGCUAAAUGCGGCUGAGAUUGAGAAAAUUCAAAACGGUUCACGCUGAUAUUGCGUCCGCUGUAUAAAUGUGACAUGAGGACAUGCUUGGCCGUAUCUAGCGAUAAUCGUGCGACGAAAUCGCGAGUAUCGCGUGUCCCGCGGGGACACGUAGGAUCAUUCUGUAAAUCCGAAACGGCGCAUCGAUGCAAGAUCGCCGGAUAUCGCAGUACUUGACUCGUGUAGCAGCGAGGGGCGAGAGAGGCCAUUCUCGACCUCGCUGCGAAUAAAAUUUUACAAUUAGCACUGUACGUAACUAAUUACGUCCUUUCGAGAGGAGCACACUGCCGCCACAGGGAAAUUCCGAUUCAAGAGAAUCAAGCAGAGGGAGGAGAGCAGACGCGAACUUCGAGCGGUUCUCGGUCAUAUGUAUGUGAAAAGGAUGUGCGCGUCGGAUUCGUACACACGGGUACACCCGUAUGCGCGACCGUGCCGAUUACGUAUUUGACGAACGCCAUACACAAGUACCUCAUGAUACAAAACACAUGUACAAAUGUUCAUACGUUUUCAGAAUAUUAGCUAAUUAAUAAAUAAUGAAUAUCUAAGAUCGGC